CGCUCCGGGCAAUUGGAAACGAUGAAACAUUGUGCGGAGC
rnacentral:ncRNA from 1 species